UACGUAGGGGGCAAGCGUUGUCCGGAAUCAUUGGGCGUAAAGCGCGCGUAGGCGGCCCUGUAAGUCCGUUGUGAAAGUCGAAGGCUCAACCUUCGAAAGCCGAUGGAUACUGCAGGGCUAGAGUCCGGAAGAGGCGAGUGGAAUUCCUGGUGUAGCGGUGGAAUGCGCAGAUAUCAGGAGGAACACCGAUGGCGAAGGCAGGUCACUGGGCCGCAACUGACGCUGAGGAGCGAAAGCAUGGGGAGCGAACAGG
rnacentral:rRNA from 1 species